GUCUACGGCCAUGCCACCCUGAACAAGCCCAGUGUCUGAUCUCAGAAGCUAAGCAGGGUCGGGCCUGGUUAGUACUUAGAUGGGAGACCAUCUAGGAAGACCGCAUGCUGUAGGCU
rnacentral:rRNA from 1 species